ACCUCAAUCGGUUUUUGCAGCUUCUGGGUGUCGUGUCGAACGAUCGCAGAACGAUUUUUUGUUAUUUUCCAACUCGAUUUUUAACUCCCUAGACUAGUAGGAUGUUCCAACGGGUGAAGCAACAGUGCUGACGGCAGAGUUUCAGUGUCAAUUUUUCAUGCCAUGAUCACUGGGGCGGAAACCAUUAUGACGUUGCCUUGGACAUCAAACUAAACCAUCUCAUUCUGGCUUUUUUCUAACAUCGAAAUCUCAGAAGGCCAGGACUAAGAUGGACGCAGCCUCCACAUGCAACCUUGCAUUUGAGGAACACCCAUAGAACGGUCAACUUACCCCAUACUCUAACCUGAAUGCAGGGAUCAUAAAACUUUAUCUUUUACCUUAAUUGUUAGAUGGGUGUUGAUACCAAACUUUUUUGUCUCGUCUACCCAGUAGAAAGUCAUGGGUUCUGCUGCUGAGAAUUCUGGCUUGAUGUUUGGUCCACCUGUUAGCUGGCUCUGGUGCUUGGUAGUCUUCUCAAACCUCUGAAUCAAGGCCACCAUGAGAGGCCUUCUGAAGACCAUCAUUACGCUUCAGAUCCAGUUGUCUUAACUAUGAGCCUACCACAAUCCCUGUGCACCAGCUAUGGAAAGUGCAGACCAAACUUCUACCUCCACCUAUAGAACUGAACUGGAGUCUGUGAACUAAUGCUGUGUUCGAGACAACUGGAACAGCAAACAAAGUUGAGUAUCCGACCUCUCAACUUGUGACUGAUCGAUCAGCACCAACCUCAACGAGAUGCAUCAUUUGACAUUGCAGACAAGUUGGUGGCUAGCCUUUCACAGCCUUACAUGAACCGCAAACAAACUUUAAACUAUUUUUACAGCACAUAAUAUUUAUGAACAUGAAUGUUAAAUUAUCCAGUAACCAUUUUCUGCCAUAAUUGGCACAAGAGCACAAACUUCUCCUGGCGUCUCAUUAUGUGGUAAACACGCAAAUGUGAUAUGUGAUUGACUGGAAUGCAUUGAGGUCGGUGGUAGGAUAUUUAAUGACAUAACAUCAGAAAUCCGAAUUGUAACACUGCGCAAUAUUUCACAUAAUUGUCAUGACCUGAUUAUCCUCCCAUGUUUUUAACACAACCAUUGAUUGGUCACACGGAAGCAGAGACUUUGUCCUUUGUAUCUCUCAAAAAAAAGAAUUCUAUAUUUAAUGUUAAAAAACACUUACAGUAGACUGUGUUAGAUAACUGUGCUUUUGGAAGUCAUUUCUGAUAACCGCACACCUAACUUGUCUAAUGUCUUAAAAAUAGGCACCAGAGCAAUGUUUGUGGUAACCGUGGUAUAAGAGGAAUAAUUGACUCCGGUCUUUUGAAUUAUUUGAAAAUAAAGCACACCCGCGGUGUAACGGCACUCUGCUUCGCGUCGUGCCGCAUUGCACCUUGGGUGUGCAUUAUUUUCUUAUAAUUCAAUGGCCCGUCGUCAAUUAUUCCUUACAUAUUGAAGGUUGACAGGUUUGUUUGCAUGUAAUUGCAGUAUUAUUAAUUUGGGGUUGAUAGUCCAAUGUUGAUUUG